AGUGGGAGGUAGCUCAAGUUCGGAUGGCAGCCUACAGAUAGAAAGUCGCCCGCUAUUACAACUCUCGGGUCAAAAACAAAGUCUUUAGAGCGGGAGACCUAGUGCUUCGACGAGCCGCUGUCUCGCAACCUCAGGAUAGAGGAAAGCUUGCCCCAAAUUAGGAAGGCCCGUACAAAGUCAAGGAGGUAGUCUGGCCCAGAACUUACUACCUCAAGG
rnacentral:lncRNA from 1 species